rnacentral:rRNA from 1 species
CCAGACUCCUACGGGAGGCAGCAGUGGGGAAUAUUGGGCAAUGGGCGCAAGCCUUACCCAGCAAUACCGCGUGAGUGAAGAAGGUCUUCGGAUUGUAAAGCUCUUUGAUCAGGGACGAACAGAUGACGGUACCUGAAGAACAAGCCCCGGCUAACUACGUGCCAGCAGCCGCGGUAAUACGUAGGGGGCAAGCGUUAUCCGGAUUUACUGGGUGUAAAGGGAGCGUAGACGGCCAGACAAGUCUGAAGUGAAAAUCCAGCGCUUAACGUUGGAAGUGCUUUGGAAACUGCCGGGCUGGAGUGCAGGAGGGGCAGGCGGAAUUCCUAGUGUAGCGGUGAAAUGCGUAGAUAUUAGGAGGAACACCAGUGGCGAAGGCGGCCUGCUGGACUGCAACUGACGUUGAGGCUCGAAGGCGUGGGGAGCAAACAGGAUUAGAUACCCGUGUA